GACGAACGCUGGCGGCGUGCCUAAUACAUGCAAGUUGAGCGCUGAAGGUUGGUACUUGUACCGACUGGAUGAGCAGCGAACGGGUGAGUAACGAGUGGGGAAUCUGCCUUUGAGCGGGGGACAACAUUUGGAAACGAAUGCUAAUACCGCAUAAAAACUUUAAACACAAGGUUUAAGUUUGAAAGAUGCAAUUGCAUCACUCAAAGAUGAUCCCGCGUUGUAUUAGCUAGUUGGUGAGGUAAAGGCUCACCAAGGCGAUGAUACAUAGCCGACCUGAGAGGGUGGUCGGCCACAUUGGGACUGAGACACGGCCCAAACUCCUACGGGAGGCAGCAGUAGGGAAUCUUCGGCAAUGGACGAAAGUCUGACCGAGCAACGCCGCGUGAGUGAAGAAGGUUUUCGGAUCGUAAAACUCUGUUGGUAGAGAAGAACGUUGGUGAGAGUGGAAAGCUCAUCAAGUGACGGUAACUACCCAGAAAGGGACGGCUAACUACGUG
rnacentral:rRNA from 1 species